CUCGUUUGGGAUUUUCCUGCAAGCGUGUUCUGUCUCUUUGCAGAGGCAGCUUUAAACUUUCUUUCCAAACUGUUAAUUAGAUACACUGUACUUUGCUCAUGUUCCGUGCAGACGAAUGGGAGUGCGAGGCUGGAAAGAAAGGCUUGUGACUCAAGGCAUAGUUAUUUGGGAGGUGCAGAACAUCUUUGAGUGCCGCGUUCAGAUGGGCUGUACCUGUAAUUUGUGACUUUGCCAUCUCCGAGACUUCGUCGGUCUUGGUGACACCGGGAGGCAGAAGGAUCUUUAACAGUUUGGGUCCUUUUGGGGCUAACCAGACACUCGGUUGAAUAUACAAAGGAGGAAGUGCAAGUUUAUCGCCUCUCUGAAAUCGGAUGGAAAAUAGCAUUGCUUUUGUCCACGAGUUACAACGCUGUGGUCCUGCCCCUAUGGCUGAGCCCCUCAUCAAAUGAUAACUUGCUCGUGAGGGAACUUACGCUUUUGUAACGAGGGCUGUUACCUUGAAUGUGAUGAUGAGCUUAUUGAACACCAGAGGGAACUCUGAAUAGCAGGAGCAAGUACACAUCAAAAGGCAUUUCAUCCCGGACACUAUUUGCACAGGAGCCUGAGCCCCAAGAAGUCCCUUUCACUAGCAACGCUUGUGCUGCUCAGAUAUUUGAAGUGGAUAUGAAAUCGGGCAGAAUUGGUGUGGAAGGGGAGGGAGAAAGAGACAGCUUUUU